AAGCGCAGGCUUGGAGCAUGUGCUGCAGGAAACUCUUCCUGUGUGCAAGCGUUCCAGUCUUCUGCAGUGACUUGAGUGCUAAUACUGGCCUGAAUGCCCCAUGGCUCCACAACGGGGCAUGUGGCACGAUACAAGGUAGCAUCUUUCUGUGACGUGAAGACAAGGCACUGACCACUUUGCUAGUGUCUUGGCCCAACUAGAUAUCUCUACUUAAAUCUCCCCCUGCAGUGUGAGAGGUACUAAUCCUCACUUCCUGACUAACACUGCUGCUGUGAUAUAAACUGCUGCCAUGUUCUGUUCUAGAGGUGGCAGAAUUUCAUUGCAUGCUGGAGUGUACAAUCAAAAGUAAGUAAGUCCAUUAAUGGAGAGUGCUGGGGAAAUGUGGACAGUGUCUUCAGUGACUUGGCAUCUUUCAAUUCAGAGCUCGAGGAGGAACUGAAAUGUUCUCAGUCGUGGACCAGACAGCUGUCCUGCCGCGUGAAUGAGCUGGAGCGCCUCAUAUGCCCAGAGGUAGGCAGACACUCAAUGGCUCUCAUGGGAGCAUUGGGGAGGUCUGGUUUCUGGUGACUGAUCUACUUUCUCCCAGACCCCCUCGCGCUGUGCAGGUGGAAUGGCGUAACUCUGUCCAGCCCAGCCUGGGUGAGAAGCUGCAGUUGCACCUGGAGCGCUCCCUACUGGAGAAGCAGGACCUGAAGUGCAGAGCUCUGAGGGCUGAGGAGAACAUCCAGGACCUCAAAAGGGAGAUUGCUAUUCUGCAGAAGCGCCUGCAGGCUGAGUGUCCCUCUCCAACCACCCUAGCUCCAUUGGCUACUGCUCCUCAGUCUCUUCCACCAUCCCCUUCAACUUUCUUCCAUCAGACUCCUCCUCUCUAAAACGCACAAGAAGUCAGCAGUGAAGCCAGCUGCACAGACUCCACCGAAGAAGGGACCUGCCCCCUGUGAUGAACAUGCCUUGUCCAAGCAGAACAGCAUGAAGGAAGUGCUGGAUACAAUCUGCCAUGGGGUCUCCCUGAGACCGAUGCACAUGUCCAGGGAAGUAAGGUCUGGAGCAACCUUAGUUGUAGCACCCUAGGGUGCUUAACUGCUGCAUUCUAGACAGACCUUACCAGGGAAAUGGUGCCAUUUAACAGGUCUGUUAAGGGAUUUCCUGAAGAGGCUGAUUUGCUAAAUGAGGAUAAAGCAGUAAGAUUGGAGGGUGUUAAGGGAAGGAGAUCCCUGGGUGAAGGGAGGUAACUAAAUCUCCCUGCUAGCUGCAGUAACUGGUAGUGAUUGUGCCUGGCACUGAACUCUCCCUGAUCGGUUUUCCUCCUCUUCCAAAGGGCAGGAUGUUCCAAGUGGAAGAGGCUGCAUCUUCAGAAUAUGAGCAGGAGAAGCCCUUGGUCAAGAAAGGGAGCAAAAACUGCUCUGAAACAGAUGGCCCUCUGGAUUCCUUGAGCAACAUGCCCUCUUCAAGCCAGACUCUUCAACCCCUUGAGAGCCCCCUCGUAGUCUCUAGCUGUGGGACUUCUAGUGGUGUCUGUGCUUCUCAGGCUUACAGAGAGGAUGGCAGCGGCCCACAGAGGGAAAGGGAAGAUCCCGCAGAAGCUCUGAAGAUGACGCAAGGAGCGCUACUAGUCCCCUUCCAGCUAUCACCCUGCUAGAGGAAGGGGACAACCUUGAGGAGAUCCCUUGUGGCUCUCUAACUGGCCUGGAGUUGGGAACUACUACUCAAAUCCCAAAGGACUCUGAAGCAACUGACUGCAGUGGGUCUCCAAGUAGCAAGAACCCACUGGCUGUGGGGAAAGAGAAUAUGAAGGAUGAAAGAGGCAGAAACUGUAGCAGCAGGUGAGAUGUGUGAGGGGGAGCUGAGUGCAUGCCGAGCAAGUGAGGUGGCCCAGCCUCUUGGCCUUGGUGACCAGGUUUCUGGGGAGACUAAUCACUACUCAGUGUGGUGCUCUGAAGACUGACCUUGCCAGCUGCAAACAUCUGUCUUUAGCACCCCUUGAUGCCUCUUACCCAUCAGAAACCAGCUCUUCUGUGGAAGAUCUGCUUGUCAGGGGCACAGGUCAGAACAUAAACGCCAUAUCUGCCUCCUGCAUGGACAAUGCCAUGGUUUUGAAAUCAAAUGCCAGCCAAGCCCUGUCUGCUGAGCCAACUACUAGAGACCUGGGUCUUCCAGGAGCCACAGAGAAGCCGCCACCUCUGUGCCCUGUUGCCACUGAGAUAGAAACAAAGAUGGUUCCUGAGGGUGGAGACCUUGGUGAGGGAGAGAAGAUGCCUCCAGCUAGUUCCAUUGGGCCUCUGGUGAGGAGCUUGCCUGCAGGGGCAGAAAUGAAGCUGGAGGGAGGAGUUGGGAUGAAUUUUUCCAGGGACCAAAGCCCCCUACAGGAUAGCCCAGCUAUUGCUACAGCUGCCCUCCCACUGCCAGGAGCAAUAGAGCCUCCAGUUCCUGCUGGCUUUGAGGAGGUGCCCUCAACAGCUCUGCCAGAUCUGUUCAUGGAGGCUGGCCCUGCUGACUCCUCUGACUCCAAGCAGACCAACCCUGUGCUCUUGAACCCUCCUUGUAUGACUGCAAUAAAAAUGCACCAAGAGCAGCUCCAAGAAGCAGCAGUUCAUGCUGGUUCUAAGACCUACUAGGGGGUCUGGGGGAGGGUGUUAACUGUCUAGUACAAACACCGAGCAAGAAGUGGUGCAGAACUUGAUAAGGACAUGACUGACUGUUAGAAUCUUGUACUCUGUAGUAUUUACUUGACUUUUCCUACUAAAUAUUUAGACAACUUUUAACAAACUUUAAACAAACAAACACACACCCUAAUAAUGACCUGACCAGAAAGGCAUGCAAUGUGGGGGAGCCCUUUGCCAGCUUGUGGACACUUAUGGGUGGAUCUAAAUGAAUGGGCACAGCAUGCAGUCUGGGGGAAGAAAGGGUUCACUGGCACUGGUCUCAACACUUUUAGCUUGUAUGGCAUCCACUGAGGCGCUAAUUGGUCAAAUGCUGCUUACCCCAGUGUUCUGAGGUUCCUCAGGCCUUGUUGGGGGUGAAUGAAGUUGGGGGCCAGUGGACUCAGUCCUUCUUGCCAAGUUUUUAACUCUCUAACUUUUCUGGUUAUGAAAUACCCCGUGUCUGUGCCAUACACAUGCUCUGCAGUGCACUGGGCAAACCUUUCUCAGACUCCAA